UGCAAGUCGAACGGCAGCACGGAGCUUGCUCUGGUGGCGAGUGGCGAACGGGUGAGUAAUAUAUCGGAACGUACCCUAGAGUGGGGGAUAACGUAGCGAAAGUUACGCUAAUACCGCAUACGAUCUAAGGAUGAAAGUGGGGGAUCGCAAGACCUCAUGCUCGUGGAGCGGCCGAUAUCUGAUUAGCUAGUUGGUAGGGUAAAAGCCUACCAAGGCAUCGAUCAGUAGCUGGUCUGAGAGGACGACCAGCCACACUGGAACUGAGACACGGUCCAGACUCCUACGGGAGGCAGCAGUGGGGAAUUUUGGACAAUGGGCGAAAGCCUGAUCCAGCAAUGCCGCGUGAGUGAAGAAGGCCUUCGGGUUGUAAAGCUCUUUUGUCAGGGAAGAAACGGUGAGGGCUAAUAUCUCUUGCUAAUGACGGUACCUGAAGAAUAAGCACCGGCUAACUACGUGCCAGCAGCCGCGGUAAUACGUAGGGUGCAAGCGUUAAUCGGAAUUACUGGGCGUAAAGCGUGCGCAGGCGGUUUUGUAAGUCUGAUGUGAAAUCCCCGGGCUCAACCUGGGAAUUGCAUUGGAGACUGCAAGGCUAGAAUCUGGCAGAGGGGGGUAGAAUUCCACGUGUAGCAGUGAAAUGCGUAGAUAUGUGGAGGAACACCGAUGGCGAAGGCAGCCCCCUGGGUCAAGAUUGACGCUCAUGCACGAAAGCGUGGGGAGCAAACAGGAUUAGAUACCCUGGU
rnacentral:rRNA from 1 species